UACAGAGGGUGCAAGCGUUAAUCGGAAUUACUGGGCGUAAAGCGUGCGUAGACGGUUAUGUAAGUCAGAUGUGAAAUCCCCGGGCUCAACCUGGGAACUGCAUUUGUGACUGCAUGGCUAGAGUGCGGCAGAGGGGGAUGGAAUUCCGCGUGUAGCAGUGAAAUGCGUAGAUAUGCGGAGGAACACCGAUGGCGAAGGCAAUCCCCUGGGCCUGCACUGACGCUCAUGCACGAAAGCGUGGGGAGCAAACAGG
rnacentral:rRNA from 1 species